GACUUCAACUGAAAAAGUCAUCAACAACAAAGUUGUAUAACUCAUCAAUAUCUAUAACUUUUAUUUUUGUCAUUUCUUCAUUCAACAAAGUGAUAGUAACAUUGUUCACAAAAUUUACAUAUCUCUUACAUGGUUUCAUAACCUGUAAGAGAGAUAUCAAAUUUUUGUGAACAAUGUUACUAUCACUUUGUCAGAUAAAAAAAUGACCAAAAUAAAAGUUAUAGAUAUUGAUGAGUUAUACAAUUUUGUUGUUGAUGACUUUUUCAGUUGAAAUC
rfam:Oryza barthii chromosome 6, whole genome shotgun sequence.